rnacentral:lncRNA from 1 species
GUUAUUUCGCUUGAUGCUUUGCCUGUUUUGACAUGGAGUACACAUGAACAGAACAGUUUCACUUCAGUUCUCUCCUGCAUUUGAUUUGGAGCUACUAUUUACGCGCUAUUAUUUUACCACAGUACGAAGGCGUGCUGGAUAAGUCUUAUCAUGAGUCAUAUGAUCUCCAUAUCGUACAGCUGACUAAAAACGCCAAUGAGAAAAAAAUCACAAUUUUGCGCGUUUUUCUUUUUUUUUGAGGGGAGGGGGUCGUCUUGUAUGUGUGGCUCUUGCAUACAGUAUGCAUUGGUAAUGGGUGUGUACGAUAGCCGCAGCAUCUUGUCAUUGAUAUUUCAUUAAUUUUACUCAUAAAUUGCUGCGUAUAUGACCUUAGGAUUGUGCGUAAUUAUUAUUAUGUACCCCUGCUGCUGUAAUGAAACUAAUGGAUUGUUAUACAACUGACCGUCCCUAUCCCACGGAGUAAACAAAUAUGUUUACUUUGCAGCCUAGUCGCAGGAGCUUCUCCAACCAGGAGGGUCCUUCAGGGACCCUAGCAGCAGUCUGAAAGAAGGAGGCGUGAUCCUGCCUCCCCCGUCCAGCUCAGCUCUAGAUGAUCCAACUCCAGUUCCAGCUCGAGCACGAGCACAAACUUGUUGAGUGUCGAGGGUAUACCCUGCGAACCUCAGUCGUUGAUCAAACGGCUUUGAAGCGAGCGAGCGGUCGACCACCAGAACGCUGCUGCAGUAAAAAACAGAUAUCCAGACACUGCUAUCUACUGACUACAUGCCUUCAUUGUGCAGGUAAUAAAAUUGAGACGCAUUUUCAGGUCCUGAAAAUAAAAUUUAUAAUAACAAUAAAAUAAUUUGUAAGCUCUCGCGGGCCACAUAAAAUGAGGGGGUGGGCCAGAUUUGGCCCGUAAGCUUUGAGUUUGACACCUGUGCAUUAAGAGAAAGAGACAUAGCUGCAGACAUGAAAGUCUCAGGUAAACCUAGUUUGUUACCUACCACUUGCUGUACCGAGGUUCAUUGUUUGAGUAGGUACUAAGAUGGUUUGAGUCCUACU